rnacentral:tRNA from 1 species
GGUGCUGUGGUGUAGUCGGUUAUCACGUCAGUCUUACACACUGAAGGUCCCCAGUUCUAACCUGGGCAGCACCA